CUACGGGUCGCUCCAGCGGGGAAUAUUGCACAAUGGAGGAAACUCUGAUGCAGCAACGCCGCGUGGAGGAUGACACUUUUCGGAGCGUAAACUCCUUUUAUAUAGGAAGAAGAUGACGGUACUAUAUGAAUAAGCGCCGGCUAACUCCGUGCCAACAGCCGCGGUAAUACGGAGGGCGCAAGCGUUACUCGGAAUCACUGGGCGUAAAGAGCGUGUAGGCGGAUUAAAAAGUCAGAAGUGAAAUCCUAUAGCUUAACUAUAGAACUUCUUCUGAAACUCUUAAUCUAGAAUAUGGGAGAGGUAGAUGGAAUUUCUGGUGUAGGGGUAAAAUCCGUAGAGAUCAGAAGGAAUACCGAUUGCGAAGGCGAUCUACUAGAACAUUAUUGACGCUGAGACGCGAAAGCGUGGGGAGCAAACAGGAUUAGAUACCCGGGUAGUC
rnacentral:rRNA from 1 species